GCUGCCGGGCGGGGCUCCCGGGGUCCACCUCUGCCCUGCCCUGCCCGUGCAGGCGGGUUAUUUGGGGCCCUCCCUGGCCAGACUCGAAGGGCCGAUGCCAGCGCGCUCGGGGUCAGUGGCAGCCCGGCUCGUUUGCCAAAAGACCCAUUUCUGCAGCGGAGACGAGGCUCGCACGGAACUAAAACCUACCCCUGCGGCGAGCGGGCCAGCACGGCGUGAGCAGGCGGCGUGCUGUGCCUGGGACGUACAUAAAGCUGCGCGCUGGGCAAGGUUACAGUUGGAGCGUGGCAUCUUGUGUUGCACAGUGGAGGCUUUUAAGUGAGAGACCAAAUCGGGGGGGAGCACAGAGGAGAGUAUUGAGAGUGCCAUGAAGACUGAAAAUCCUUAAUGGCAGUGAACAAUAUGCUGGUACAGUCACAAAGUGGUGGUUUACAGGAUGAUCAGGCCCUUCUUUUGAUAGCAGACUCCAAGGAGUAAUUGUUUCUGAAGCCUGACUUUGCUGCCCCUAGAAGUGUGCUUCCCCUUCUUUGGUUCCUUCCAUUUUAGAAAUGAAUGACUUUCUGCAAUCAAUGGCUUUAGGAGAUUAAGACAGCAUGCACUAAAUUACAUCUGAAACACUGACUUCUUGAACCAGUUCAUUUGUAUUUCAUCUGUGAAAUAUUAGUUUAACUUGUACACAGUGCAAAUAUUAAUCCCCUUCCCCCCCCAAUCAACAAAAGAAUCGACAAAGUACGACAGAGGUAAAGAGUAGAAGCCAGUAAGUAUAUUUCCUCUGGAGGGGGAAAAAUAAAAUCUGAAGACCUGCUGAAAGAUUUCA
rnacentral:lncRNA from 1 species